GCAGGUAUCGUACAAAGGCUAGUAUAUCAGCCCUCCAAGCUGGGGAUGUGGGUUCGAUUCCCAUUACUUGCUCCA
rnacentral:tRNA from 1 species